CAUAUACUCCCUCCGUCCGGAAAUACUUGUCAUAUGAAUGAAUGUAUCUAGAUGUAUUUUAGUUCUAGAUACAUUCAUUUCUAUACAUUUGUGCGACAAGUAAUUCCGGACGGAUGGAGUAUUUA
rfam:Hordeum vulgare subsp. vulgare, WGS project CAJW01000000 data, contig: morex_contig_1573897